UGGGGAAUAUUGCACAAUGGGGGAAACCCUGAUGCAGCCAUGCCGCGUGUGUGAAGAAGGCCUUCGGGUUGUAAAGCACUUUCAGUGGUGAGGAAAGGGUGAUAGUUAAUAGCUAUCACAGUUGACGUUAGCCACAGAAGAAGCACCGGCUAACUCCGUGCCAGCAGCCGCGGUAAUACGGAGGGUGCAAGCGUUAAUCGGAAUUACUGGGCGUAAAGCGUACGUAGGCGGUGUGUUAAGCUAGAUGUGAAAGCCCCGGGCUCAACCUGGGAAUAGCAUUUAGAACUGGCACGCUAGAGUCCUGAAGAGGGUGGUAGAAUUUCCAGUGUAGCGGUGAAAUGCGUAGAUAUUGGAAGGAAUACCGGUGGCGAAGGCGGCCACCUGGUCAGAGACUGACGCUGAGGUACGAAAGCGUGGGGAGCAAACAGG
rnacentral:rRNA from 1 species